AAUGCAGGGAGGAGGGGAAGGAGAAGAGAGGAGAGUAGACUACCAAAAGCUGUGAGAAAUGCCUAAUUCAAACAAACAACAAAUAUUAUGGACAUUUCCUCAAAUAUUAUAUGGCUUUUUAAAGAGGGUUAAAUAGACAAUGAUGCUAUGGAGAUGGCAGAUAGCCAAUGUGGACAUCAUUCUCCCAUCAGCUACAGGUUUGAAGUCUCUGGAACUGAAUAGAAGCAAGAAACCUGCUUGAGCAAAGAUCUUAAACCUAAUAAGACAAGGGAAGCCAGCACCUUGUUCUUUAGUGAAAGGUCCUGAAUGAAGGAAAGUCAGCCAUGCCUGGG